AUUGAACGCUGGCGGCAGGCCUAACACAUGCAAGUCGAACGGUAACACGAAACAGCUUUCUUCUUCGCUGACGAGUGUCGGACGGGUGAGUAAUGUCUGGGAAGCUGCCUAAUGUCGUGGGAUAACUAGUGGAAACGGUAGCUAUUACCGCAUAAUGUCGCUACACCAAAGAGCAGGAGCUUCUGGCCUCUUGCCAUCUGAUGUGCCCAGAUGUGAUUAGCUUGUUGGUGGGGUAACGGCCCACCAAGGCGACGAUCCGUAGCUGGUCUGAGAGGAUGACCAGCCACACUGGAACUGAGACACGGUCCAGACUCCUACGGGAGGCAGCAGUGGGGAAUAUUGCACAAUGGGCGCAAGCCUGAUGCAGCCAUGCCGCGUGUAUGAAGAAGGCCUUCGGGUUGUAAAGUACUUUUAGUGGGGAGGAAGGGAGUAAAGUUAAUACCUCGCUGCACUGACGUUACCCGAAGAAGAAGCACCGGCUAACUCCGUG
rnacentral:rRNA from 1 species